rnacentral:rRNA from 1 species
CCUACGGGUGGCAGCAGUGGGGAAUAUUGCACAAUGGGCGCAAGCCUGAUGCAGCCAUGCCGCGUGUGUGAAGAAGGCCUUCGGGUUGUAAAGCACUUUCAGCGGGGAGGAAGGCGGUGAGGUUAAUAACCUCAUCGAUUGACGUUACCCGCAGAAGAAGCACCGGCUAACUCCGUGCCAGCAGCCGCGGUAAUACGGAGGGUGCAAGCGUUAAUCGGAAUUACUGGGCGUAAAGCGCACGCAGGCGGUCUGUCAAGUCGGAUGUGAAAUCCCCGGGCUCAACCUGGGAACUGCAUUCGAAACUGGCAGGCUAGAGUCUUGUAGAGGGGGGUAGAAUUCCAGGUGUAGCGGUGAAAUGCGUAGAGAUCUGGAGGAAUACCGGUGGCGAAGGCGGCCCCCUGGACAAAGACUGACACUCAGGUGCGAAAGCGUGGGGAGCAAACAGGAUUAGAUACCCCUGUAGUC